rnacentral:ncRNA from 2 species
UGCUUAUCGAGAGUGGUGGAGGGAAAAGGCCCUGCGAAGCCACAGCAACCGGUCAUUAUGACGCCAGGUGCUAAAUCCUGCCGAAAGGCAAAGAUGAGAG